AUUUAUAAGACUAUUCUUUGCCCAUUGUGUCUUCUUGGUGUCCUUGUGAAAAAUUAAUUGCCCAUAUGUGUUUGAAUCUAUUUCUAGGCUUUCUAUUCUGUUCCACUAAUCAGUAUGUUUGUUUAUAUGCACAGCCGAUAUACAUGCUCAAAUGUCCGUGUUCAUUUCCUAUUGCCCUCAAGAGUGAUAGAUGCAGGAAGCAGAUAAGGAAGGGUCCCUGAAGAAUCUCCGACCCGCCCCACAAGUGUUUAUGUUUCAUGUUUUUGUGCAGACUAAUUUCUACCUUCAGCAAAAUGUCUACCAAAGUCAAGUAAUAGGGCCUGAUCUGAAGCCGCAAUGAGUCUUCAGAUGUCAAAUAUGCCCUGAAUGCUGUGAAUGCAGAAGAUGAAAUAAUUAAUAUCAACUGGGAGAGCCAAGGAGCAAUGGGGAGUUGUGAAAAUAUUUUGUCAUAUAAAUAACAUGAAAAUUCUAAACAAGACAGUGAUGCUAACGAUUAAUUGUCAGAGUCUUUUUAAGAUAAGAGUAUCAGUUUGGGAAUAUAAAGUGUGUUGUUGUCAUAAAAGUGGUGACUAAGAAAGUAAAUUCCGUUACUGAAGAAUGCCCACCAAGAAUAAAGAAUUGGAUGCAAAGCACCUCCAGUGAAAUGCAGAAAUAAAAAGAUAAUUAAGUGUUCAUGAUCACUUUCCUUUGGAAUCAUAGAACUAUGCAACCUUAUUUUUCAACUACAGUGGAUGAAUGACAAACUGAAAUAAAAACCAAUGAUUUAUAUUAAGCCAGGUGGGUAUUUUGUGAUCCUAGUCAUGUAGGAAAACAUUGAUAAACAGUGAAAAUGUGACUUGACCCAUUUUUUUCUAUUAUGUUUGUCCAUAACUUGAUAGUAUGAUCCUUUCCUUUUAUUAUGUUUUAUGUAAGUAUAGAAGAACACCACAAAGCAUAAGCCGGAAUUUGCAUAUAUGACAGAGAUGUAAAGACAUUGGGAAACCUGGCAACUAAAGUUUAAAUAGUUAAAAGUGUAACAUAUAUAACAUUAUU
rnacentral:lncRNA from 1 species